UAACGAAUCUUCCGCAAUGGGCGAAAGCCUGACGGAGCAAUGCCGCGUGUGGGAUGAAGCGCCUCCGGCGUGUAAACCACUGUCAGGGAACAGAACCAACGAUCGUUCCCAAAGGAAGUGGCGACUAACUCUGUGCCAGCAGUCGCGGUAAUACAGAGGCCACGAGCGUUAAUCGGAAUCACUGGGCUUAAAGGGUGCGUAGGCGGGCUCGCAAGCGUCUUGUGAAAGCCCCCGGCUCAACCGGGGAACUGCAGGGCGAACUGCGAGUCUUGAGGUAGGUAGGGGCUGUUAGAACAGUAGGUGGAGCGGUGAAAUGCGUAGAGAUCUACUGGAAUGCCGAUGGAGAAGUCGAGCAGCUGGGCCUUACCUGACGCUGAGGCACGAAAGCGUGGGGAGCAAA
rnacentral:rRNA from 1 species